GGUUAAGCGACUAAGCGUACACGGUGGAUGCCCUGGCAGUCAGAGGCGAUGAAGGACGUGCUAAUCUGCGAAAAGCGUCGGUAAGGUGAUAUGAACCGUUAUAGCCGGCGAUGUCCGAAUGGGGAAACCCAGUGCAAUUCGUUGCACUAUCGUUAACUGAAUACAUAGGUUAACGAGGCGAACCGGGGGAACUGAAACAUCUAAGUACCCCGAGGAAAAGAAAUCAACCGAGAUUCCCCCAGUAGCGGCGAGCGAACGGGGAGCAGCCCAGAGUCUGAAUCAGCUUGUGUGUUAGUGGAACGGUCUGGAAAGUCCGACGGUACAGGGUGAUAGUCCCGUACACCAAAAUGCACAGGCUGUGAACUCGAAGAGUAGGGCGGGACACGUGGUAUCCUGUCUGAAUAUGGGGGGACCAUCCUCCAAGGCUAAAUACUCCUGACUGACCGAUAGUGAACCAGUACCGUGAGGGAAAGGCGAAAAGAACCCCGGCGAGGGGAGUGAAAAAGAACCUGAAACCGUGUACGUACAAGCAGUGGGAGCACCUUCGGGUGUGACUGCGUACCUUUUGUAUAAUGGGUCAGCGACUUAUAUUCUGUAGCAAGGUUAACCGUAUAGGGGAGCCGCAGGGAAACCGAGUCUUAACUGGGCGUUAAGUUGCAGGGUAUAGACCCGAAACCCGGUGAUCUAGCCAUGGGCAGGUUGAAGGUUGGGUAACACUAACUGGAGGACCGAACCGACUAAUGUUGAAAAAUUAGCGGAUGACUUGUGGCUGGGGGUGAAAGGCCAAUCAAACCGGGAGAUAGCUGGUUCUCCCCGAAAGCUAUUUAGGUAGCGCCUCGUGAAUUCAUCUUCGGGGGUAGAGCACUGUUUCGGCUAGGGGGUCAUCCCGACUUACCAACCCGAUGCAAACUACGAAUACCGAAGAAUGUUAUCACGGGAGACACACGGCGGGUGCUAACGUCCGUCGUGAAGAGGGAAACAACCCAGACCGCCAGCUAAGGUCCCAAAGUCAUGGUUAAGUGGGAAACGAUGUGGGAAGGCACAGACAGCCAGGAUGUUGGCUUAGAAGCAGCCAUCAUUUAAAGAAAGCGUAAUAGCUCACUGGUCGAGUCGGCCUGCGCGGAAGAUGUAACGGGGCUAAACCAUGCACCGAAGCUGCGGCAGCGACACUAUGUGUUGUUGGGUAGGGGAGCGUUCUGUAAGCCUGCGAAGGUGUGCUGUGAGGCAUGCUGGAGGUAUCAGAAGUGCGAAUGCUGACAUAAGUAACGAUAAAGCGGGUGAAAAGCCCGCUCGCCGGAAGACCAAGGGUUCCUGUCCAACGUUAAUCGGGGCAGGGUGAGUCGACCCCUAAGGCGAGGCCGAAAGGCGUAGUCGAUGGGAAACAGGUUAAUAUUCCUGUACUUGGUGUUACUGCGAAGGGGGGACGGAGAAGGCUAUGUUAGCCGGGCGACGGUUGUCCCGGUUUAAGCAUGUAGGCUGGUUGUCCAGGCAAAUCCGGAUAAUCAAGGCUGAGGUGUGAUGACGAGGCACUACGGUGCUGAAGUAACAAAUGCCCUGCUUCCAGGAAAAGCCUCUAAGCAUCAGGUAACAUUAAAUCGUACCCCAAACCGACACAGGUGGUCAGGUAGAGAAUACCAAGGCGCUUGAGAGAACUCGGGUGAAGGAACUAGGCAAAAUGGUGCCGUAACUUCGGGAGAAGGCACGCUGGUGUGUAGGUGAAGUCCCUGCGGAUGGAGCUGAGACCAGUCGAAGAUACCAGCUGGCUGCAACUGUUUAUUAAAAACACAGCACUGUGCAAACACGAAAGUGGACGUAUACGGUGUGACGCCUGCCCGGUGCCGGAAGGUUAAUUGAUGGGGUUAUCCGUAAGGAGAAGCUCUUGAUCGAAGCCCCGGUAAACGGCGGCCGUAACUAUAACGGUCCUAAGGUAGCGAAAUUCCUUGUCGGGUAAGUUCCGACCUGCACGAAUGGCGUAAUGAUGGCCAGGCUGUCUCCACCCGAGACUCAGUGAAAUUGAACUCGCUGUGAAGAUGCAGUGUACCCGCGGCAAGACGGAAAGACCCCGUGAACCUUUACUAUAGCUUGACACUGAACAUUGAGCCUUGAUGUGUAGGAUAGGUGGGAGGCUUUGAAGCGUGGACGCCAGUCUGCGUGGAGCCAACCUUGAAAUACCACCCUUUAAUGUUUGAUGUUCUAACGUUGGCCCCUGACCGGGGUUGCGGACAGUGUCUGGUGGGUAGUUUGACUGGGGCGGUCUCCUCCCAAAGCGUAACGGAGGAGCACGAAGGUUAGCUAAUCCUGGUCGGACAUCAGGAGGUUAGUGCAAUGGCAUAAGCUAGCUUGACUGCGAGCGUGACGGCGCGAGCAGGUGCGAAAGCAGGUCAUAGUGAUCCGGUGGUUCUGAAUGGAAGGGCCAUCGCUCAACGGAUAAAAGGUACUCCGGGGAUAACAGGCUGAUACCGCCCAAGAGUUCAUAUCGACGGCGGUGUUUGGCACCUCGAUGUCGGCUCAUCACAUCCUGGGGCUGAAGUAGGUCCCAAGGGUAUGGCUGUUCGCCAUUUAAAGUGGUACGCGAGCUGGGUUUAGAACGUCGUGAGACAGUUCGGUCCCUAUCUGCCGUGGGCGCUGGAGAAUUGAGGGGGGCUGCUCCUAGUACGAGAGGACCGGAGUGGACGCAUCACUGGUGUUCGGGUUGUCAUGCCAAUGGCACUGCCCGGUAGCUAAAUGCGGAAGAGAUAAGUGCUGAAAGCAUCUAAGCACGAAACUUGCCCCGAGAUGAGUUCUCCCUGAGACUUUAAGUCUCCUGAAGGAACGUUAAAGACGAUGACGUUGAUAGGCCGGGUGUGUAAGCGCAGCGAUGCGUUGAGCUAACCGGUACUAAUGAACCGUGAGGCUUAACCUU
rnacentral:rRNA from 1 species